GGAUAUAGCUCAGUGGUAAAGCACGUGCUUAGAACGCAUCAGGUCCUGGGUUCAAUCCCCAAUACUUCCA
rnacentral:tRNA from 1 species